GACAGAGGGUGCAAACGUUGUUCGGAAUUACUGGGCGUAAAGCGAGUGUAGGCGGUUUGGUAAGUCGGAUGUGAAAGCCCCGGGCUCAACCCGGGAAGUGCACUUGAUACUGCCAAGCUAGAGUAUCGGAGAGGUUGGUGGAAUUCUCGGUGUAGAGGUGAAAUUCGUAGAUAUCGAGAGGAACACCGGUGGCGAAGGCGGCCAACUGGACGAAUACUGACGCUGAGACUCGAAAGCGUGGGGAGCAAACAGG
rnacentral:rRNA from 1 species